GCAUUUGUGGGAGCAAAAUAGGUUAUGGAAAUUGUGAUAAUUGCUUAGGCAAAGCUAUGCUUCUCACCCCCUAUUGUCUCUAGUCUCUCUCAUCCCCUUCUACUGUUAUCCUUCUUUGUUGUAAUUUCUCCUUCCGUAUUAAUCAAAGUUGAUUAGUUCCGUUCAGUGUAUUGAUUGUUGAGUUGAGAAUUCGGGUUCGUUUCA
rnacentral:lncRNA from 1 species